rnacentral:rRNA from 1 species
GACGAACGCUGGCGGCGUGCCUAAUACAUGCAAGUUGAGCGCUGAAGGUUGGUACUUGUACCAACUGGAUGAGCAGCGAACGGGUGAGUAACGCGUGGGGAAUCUGCCUUUGAGCGGGGGACAACAUUUGGAAACGAAUGCUAAUACCGCAUAAAAACUUUAAACACAAGUUUUAAGUUUGAAAGAUGCAAUUGCAUCACUCAAAGAUGAUCCCGCGUUGUAUUAGCUAGUUGGUGAGGUAAAGGCUCACCAAGGCGAUGAUACAUAGCCGACCUGAGAGGGUGAUCGGCCACAUUGGGACUGAGACACGGCCCAAACUCCUACGGGAGGCAGCAGUAGGGAAUCUUCGGCAAUGGACGGAAGUCUGACCGAGCAACGCCGCGUGAGUGAAGAAGGUUUUCGGAUCGUAAAACUCUGUUGGUAGAGAAGAACGUUGGUGGGAGUGGAAAGCUCAUCAAGUGACGGUAACUACCCAGAAAGGGACGGCUAACUACGUG